GUUGAAGUUUCAACGAAGUGAUGAUUUAGUUUCGGACUGUUAUUGAAAACGAAUGGUUAAUGUUUUCCAAUGAUAAAUUAUAAUCGCAUGCUAACGAAUAUUUGGUUAAAAAUCUCGAUACCGACGGUAUUACGAGUAUUACUUAUACAAUUCACGGUAGUGAAAAUAAUGAUGACAACGGCUGGAAGUUUUUAAUGGAGCUAAAAAAGUUAAUGGGAAACGCGGAUUAUUUUCAUUCUGGAAAUAUCAUUCAAAUGUCAAAAAAUCUAAUACCGAAUAGGUGAUCGAGUUGAAUGAUUGCUAAGUGAAGGCUUCAUAUCGAAAUCGAAGGAGACGGAGAAUUAUGCCAAGCUUGUCUGUGGAAGGCCGCUCUUUUCAAAAGCCAAUGUUUUCUCAUUACUUCUAAUUACAUAUAAUACUUUGUGUAUAUUAAUUCAUUUAUAAUAUUGUGUCAUCCAAAAAGUAAUAUUCAUUGACAUAUCAUAAAUAACCAAGGAGUGGUAAGAGGACAAAAAAACCUCCUUCUGAAAUCUGCGUUUUUUUAGCCACUGAGAAGUUCAUCAGAUUAGCAAUAAAUAAAUAGAUAAUAACGAUGCGAGGGAGUGGCAUCUUAUCACCAUUGAUACAGAAGUACCAGAUAUAGAAAACAUCACCGCUGCUUUCAAGAGAUAUUGUAAAUAAAAAGUAAAAACAGGAAAACUCGGCGCAAAUUAUUAUUAUCAUAAUAUCUAUAAUGAAAUUGUAAUUAUGAAUGAAAUAUAUCUUUGAAAUAUAUUAUUCAGAAACACUUUGA